rnacentral:lncRNA from 1 species
UCUGCUUCAACAGAAAUGGAGUGCUCGAGUGAGAAUUUUAAUAGAGUUUUGAGAUAGAGUUUUUGAGCUUAGAGAAGAACGUAUCUGGGGGUCCCUUUUUAUAGAUGGAGUGCAUAACUAAUUGACAGCGACAUCUGUAACCAUCUGGUAGUGGGCUGUUCAGAGCCGCCCAGAGUUUGUUACGGAGAGUAGUGGUGUCAGGGGUCGUUCAGGGCCAUGUGG